UUACCACCGAGUCACAAUGGGAAUUCCCAAAAUACUCUAUUUUUAAUGCUCUUCCUUUCAGAGAAAUGUGAAUGAUAUAGGGAAAGACAAAAAGGGAAGUUUCCCUGAUGCUAAUAUUUUGAUCUGCUAUUUGUUAGAUCCUCCAGGGGAAUUUACACUCCUGGGAAAAGCAUAAUAAUAAGUAGAGAUAACAGAGGCAUACCUUUCUUUUAUAAAGUGAGAUGAGGGCAAUAGUGAAAGGGAAGGAGAAAAGAACUAACCACUCACUUCAACUUGUGUGUGGCUUGGUUCUCAGGCAGAUCAAUGUUAAGAAAGGAUGCACAUUAAAAAGAGUCUUGGGAAAUUAACUCCUUUAAAACUAUUAUGCCUGUGCCCCCUUGCAAAGUCCUUUGGCACUUCUGAGAGUAUGGUAAUCUAGUGUAGUGACUGCUCACCCAAAGUGUAGGGAAGUCUUCUCAGAGGAAGUGGGAUUUAAGCUGAGAAAUGAAAGGUGAGUAGGAGUAAGUUAAGUACAGGGAACAGGUGGUCUAUUCACAGAAAUUCUGCCCAGCAGAUCUCAUGAAAAAUCACGUAAGUUAGGGGAAGGUGAUAACUAAAGUUGAAAUGUCCCAACGUUCUUAUAUUGUUCAGGAGAAGGGUAAAGAUAUUUAUUAACUUCAGAAUUUUUCAGUUAAAUGUGUUACAAAUUGUAGGGUGACCAUCUCAAGGUAGUACCAAAGUGAAUAAGUUCCCAUGUAACAGAGAAGAAAAUGGCAUGGGGAGGUAUGUGUGGAGGGUAAGGUAGGGAAGGAUACAUUAAACAAAAAUUCAGCCUCAAAGAAAGCAUUAAUGGAGAGCCCUACCUCCCAGAAAAAAACAAACAAACAAAAAAAACACUUAACGCUUAAACUGGCAGAAAUGAAUCACAAAAUAUUAGAAAGCACAAACCACGUCAAUGGACCAAAGGCAAAAAGGAGCUUCUAAUACUGAGUAAACGAAGGUCAAAUAAACACACAAGAAAACAAAUAUACACUGAGCUACACGUUUACAACAGACAUGCUCAAAACAUAAGGACACAGAGGUUAGUAGGUAAAACAUAGAAAAAAAUAAACCAAGGCAAAUACCAACUAAAUGAAGGUUGGCAUGUCUAAAUCAUUGUCAGGAAAAAUAGACUUCAAGGCAAAACUUUCUGGAAGUGAAGAAGGUUAUUAUAAAUGUUAAAAUGAGAAAUUCAUCAGGAAGAAAUUUUAAACCUUUAUAUACUUUAUGAAGUAGAUUCAAAAUACAGAAAGGGAAAAUUGGAGGCCUUACAAGAAGCUGAUGAAAAUUACUUUCUGUAUCUGAUACAGCUGAGUAAAACAUCACUCAGGAUAUAGAACACUUGAACACAAUUAAGUACUUGGGCUGAUAGACAUGCAUAUAAUUUAAAAAUGAUUGGGUAGUUGGCUGUGAAGGAAAUCUGAAGAAAUUUUUAGUGAUUGGUAUUAUAUAGGCCAUUUUCUCUGACCACAAUGUGAUUAAUGCAAGUAAGUUAUAAAUUUAUCUCAAGAAACUAACAAUAUACUUUCACAUAUCUGGAAAAUAAGGAAAAAAACUGAUCUGUAGACUACAAUAGAAAUCUCGAUAGGAAUUAGAAAAAUUUAAAACUCAAUGAUGAAAUUAUGCCAUUAAAAACCUAAAGGAUACAACUAAAACACUACAGGAAAAUUAGUAGUUUAGCACACUUUUUAGAAAAUGAAAGGUUAAAAAUAAAGACAGUCAACACUCAACGGAAGGUGAAAAUAAGCAGUAGCAUAUAUGCAAAAUAUUUUUUAAAAAGGAAAAAAUACAAAUAAAAAAGAAACAUGAAAUGGAGAACAAAAAUUAGAACAAGAAAAAACAUUAGAAAAGAUUAAGAUUUGUCAAGAAAAACAGAAGAUAUUAAUUACAGAAUAGAGGAGGAAAUAGUCACAGACACAAAUUUUAAAAUAAUAUGCUUGUACUAUUAAAACUACACAUUGACAAAAUUAAAAACCUAGGGGAAAUGGAUAAAUUGAUAGAAAAAAUAAAAUGACAAAAUUCAUUCAAGGAAAACGUCACAAAACAUGUGAACAUAAAACAAUUCCUAUGGAAGUCAAAGAUUCUGUCUUUCCACAAACAUCCACACGUAGGUGACUUUACAGCUAUUCCUCUUUUCCCCACUAACUGGUAAUUACUUUGUAAUAUAAACUGCUACAGAAUACAGAAAAAUUGUGUGGCUCAGCUCAUCUUACGAGGUUAGUGAAACUUUUUAACUUCAUGUUUUUCUUUUCAAAUAUCUUAAAAUAUACAGAAAAUAUAUGAGUAGAAAGAACAUGGCCCUCCCCCAAACCCAAAAAUCUGAGAGUAAACUGCUGACAUCCUAUCCAGUUACUCCCAAUACUUCGCUAUUUCCUACAAGCAAGGACCUUCCCCUACCUAACCUCUAAAAACCCUCAACAUCAUAAAUUACUACUGCUUAUUGCAUAUAACCAGUUCAAGCUUCUACAAAAUAGAAAAACAAUUAAACGCAACAACUUAUAUAAACCUGAUUAUAUAAACCUGGUGCUCAGUAAAUAGCCCUAUUUCCACUCGUCUGUAAAUUCACUGGGGGCUCUGGAGGUUGUUUCUUGGGCGGCCACAACUGGAAUCUGUCUGUGUGCUCUGCAAUCUUCGCACAAGCUUGACCUCGCCGCCAGGUGCUGCAUCCACACAGCACAUCCUUUUACACCACGACUUGCUAACAAGGCCCCAGAACAGGCCUCAGCUGAUCCCUGUGAGGCUAUGACUGAGUGUGCCCACCUGGGGCCAGUCGCUCCGAAGGCGAACUGCCUUGCCAGGGCCCCAAGACCCUUGGGCACGAGGAGCCGCACACAGCUGUGAGUCUUCUGCCCGCCCACGGGCUCCACGCUCUGCGCAUGCGCACAGGGCCAAUGCGGGGGCGAGAACAGGCUUCAUAUGAGCCACCAUCUGGGGUCGUAGCGAGCUUUCCAGAGCUGUGCGAAGAGGUCCCUGAUCUUCGGUGGGGGUUCUCUAUAAUAUUCCAGUAAAGUUUAACCCUGUCUCCGAGUGCAUACAAGCUAUCGUGAGAUGCUUUCUCUCAAAACCCAGCCAUCAUGCUGUAAACGAGCACAAACAGGCUGUGGAGAGGCUCACAAGGUGAAGAACCAAGGCCCCUGGCCCAGGACUCUGGCUGAGCUCCCAGUGGACAGCACCAACUUACCAGCCCUAAAUGAGACUCCAAAUUUGGAAAGUACCAGUGAAACUCCACAGUUAGUUGGCUGAGAGUAUUGAACCGAAUAGAUCCAAGGGAAGAAUCCUGAGUGAGACCACUGGAAGUUUUGUCUAGGCUGACAAGAGGCUGACAAUUAUACUACUCCUUAAGUACGGCCUAAUGAGAAUUGGUGAAUAAGAGGCAGUCUUUGGAUCUGCAGUUGUCGUGUCGGGGAUAUCCAUCACCACCGAAGAGGAAGGCAUACCAAUCAGAAGAGCUUCACUCUCAACUCUCCCUAAGCAGAAAAAUAAUUACUUCAGGGAAAAUCUACCUUGCAAACAAUUUUAUUCAUCUUUUCGCUGGGCCUGGAGAUAUGAAUUCUGCACAGUAACACUCUGAGGGGCCAACAUUCCUCCUUAGUACACAGGUACCUUGGUUUCUGCUAUGAUAUUGAAGAACAAAUCAAGGACAUAAGGCUGAGAGAUACAAUGUGGCUGAUUUCAAACAGAAACGAUGCUCAGUACUUCAUUACCUGUUUUGUUGUUGUUCAGCAAAAUGCAAGCCCCUCAAGGACAAGAGUAUCUAGGGUUCACUUCAGUAUGCACCUUAGCACCUGGCAGAGUUGCCUGCCUUGUGAACUGCAACACCAACAUCCAUGCAGUGGCUUCUCACUAGUGUAUUUGUUGUACUUAUUAGAGUAGAUAUUCAAUAAACAUGGCUUUCUAAAAUGCAGAAUCACUCACAUAUUGUGCAAUUCCUUGAAUUCUGGCUACCAUACUGACCACUCUGUGUUCUCAUUUCCAGAGUCUUCUUUCCAGCUCUUGCCCUGCCUUAGCCUAUGCCACACUUCUGUGCUUCUCCUGUUCUAACAAUGCAAAUUCACUACCCUGGCUUCAUUUUGUUUGACUACUAUUUCUCUAUUCUACUUGAUAACACUGUUUGAUUCAUUUCAAUUCAAUGAAAGUCAAUUCAUUCUAAUUGAUAUUUGAGCAGUUACUCUCUCCUGGAUACAUUUUAUCACCUAUAUUUAGAAUACUCAAAAAUGCAACCUUAAGCUAUCUGAUGGAUCUAAACCUACAUUGUCUAUUGGACAUCAUCUCCAGGGUAACCUAUAAUGUCCUCAUUCUAAGCAUAUCUAAAAUUAAACUUAGGAUUUUUCUCUGGAAAUAAGACUUUACCUACUUCUUACUUAGGAUAACACGAUAUUAAUGUGAAUAUUAUUUUAGCUACUCAUAUAUAAAUCUCUAUGUUGUAUUUAACUAGUUUUUCAAAAUUCCUUUCAAUAAAGCUUCAUUUUCCCCAACAUACAACGCAUCUCCAAUCCCAAAAUGCCUGAACGUACCUUAUCACUUUUAUGCCCUCUUGUACUCCAAGCUAUACAGCAUACAUUGCUAGCUAUACAAAAAUAAGUCAGUGUUAAUGAUGCUUACAGAAGCAGGUAUAAUUUCUUCAGUUUAUGGUAUAAUAGCUUAUGCAAUACUUCACUAUCAUCGCCUUAUUUGCCACUAAGACUCUACAUAUAUUCUACACUCCACAGAAAGUCUUCCUCGAUGUUGUGUAAUUUCUUGCUUCUGAAUUGUUCUCCAACUUUUCUCACCCUUUGGUAGGCCCACUUCUGUCAUUCUGAGUGUAAAAUGUCUGCCUUUUAAGCCCUAGUUUAAAUCACACCUUCUUAAUGAUUUAUGCUGGUGAAAAUAAAUUUAGAAAAAGAAGAAAUAAAGAUGAUAGCCUUUAGUAACAUACAGACUUGAAUUAAAUCCUGGAUCCACCACUUUACAUGCUGUUUGAUCAUCGACAAAUGGCUUUAAACUGCAACACUGCUCCAAGGGGGGAAAAUUCUAUCCCUUCAGAAUGAAGAUAAUCUUCCCUUGGACUUUGAAAUGAAGAAGGUAGCUAAAUAGCACUAUUUGAUUAAAAUUAGUGUGAAAAUGCACAAGGGAUGCUGGAUUUCAAACAUCCUGAAAUUUAGGAGAUUAUUGGCUAAAAAUCUACCAAGACCCAGGAUGGCAUUAAACAAUUCAAGGCAAGAAUGUGGUCCAGGUAGAAAACGACUCUAUACUUUCACUUACCUUCAUUGUGACAUGAUAAAUUUGUAAACCAGUAGGCUGGUAGUCAAACUGUAUAUUUCCACCCCCUACUACAUGGAAAAAUAAUUUCUGAAGAACCUAGGGUCAUUUCACUCCUGGAUACUGCCCCCUUCUGGGACUACAAUUCCAAGUAAAAAUCAUAGCUGAUGGCUGAAAAUAAGGGGUGCCCUUUAAUGAGUUGUAAGAGUGAUGCGUUUUGGCAGUUGUAAAUUUAGAUAUGUUAAUUCUGGCAAGGAACUAAAUAUAUGCUCCUUAGGUUCCCUUCUGUAUAUUAAAACAAACAAAACAAAAAGACACAUACAGACAAAACCAUGCAGCAAAAAGUUUUCAUCAGGGUUACAGGUCAAUGGAAAUUUGGUAAGUACUGUGCCUAUCUACUCUUCAGCCAAUGAUCUUAGAAGUUGGACAAGUUAAAAAGACUCAGUCAAAUAUAUGCCCCUAUUCAACCAUGUAUUACCAAAUAUUAACCCAGAUUUAUUUCUUUCAACUGAAUGACUAAAUUAGAAUAUAAGUACAUAAGAAAAUAUUUGACAAUGUAAAAUUGUACUCAGAUUAUAAAGGAUAAUCCAGCUUAAAGAUAUUUACAUUAAGAAGCAGAAGAAAUCUCAGCAUCAGUGUUGCCCUCUCAAUAAAAUGAAAUCAUAUAUACACAGAGUAUACAGGAAAAAAGAAACAGAAUAUAUAAAUAGAAGAGCUGAAAGCAUCCAGCUGGCUCAGCUAAUCUAAAUUCAGUAAUUUUAUUAUCAUAUGGACCUCUUCUGGUUUUGUAUUUGUGGUCUUAAAGCUUGGAUUUUCUCAAACAAGUAUUAAAGGAGAGUUCUUAUUAUUGGUAUUAGGCAUCUUUCUAUGUUUUGAAUCCUCUGAAAAUUUAUCCCAACUCCUCUCUCUCUUCCAGGAUUUCCUGAAAGCUUAACCUUUGAAUCCUUUCUUACGUUCUAGUGUUUAUAUAAAAUUAUUUUAUCUUAAUAGUAUUUCUGUCAUUUUAGUUAACUCUCAGUAAGAAGGGAAGUAGAAAAAUAACCUCAGUUUGCAAUCUUGAUCCAACUCCUCCAUCAGAUAUUAAUUUUGUAUGCAGGAAAACAAUAAAUGUUACUCUUAAAAUAUUACAAUGAUUAAAAAUAAAUUAAAAAGAUAGUCUUUGCUUAUGUGAAAAAACAGCUAAAUGUAACACCUUAUUUUCUCUGAUGAUCAAUAUAAUGAGGCAUUUCUGUGCCAUGUUAAAAAAAAAGUUUGCUGUAGAGAAUUUGAGACUCAAAUGUAAAUUCUUUAAUUUUCCAUCAUUUGUUUUUACUCUACUUUAUGUUAAAAAAGAGAAAUGUGGUGUUUUAGAAGAUUUCUUAAAAGAGAAAUGUGGUGUUUUAGAAGAUUUGUAGUAACAUAUUAAACAUGUAUGCUUCUCUUUCAUGGUCAUUAGACUCAAUCUUUAAUUUAAAUACUGAAUAUACAUAUGUGUGUGUAUGUGUGUGUGUGUAACCUUGAUUUGUUCAUCUUUAAUUACAAUAACUAAAGUAUGAUGUGCCAAACAUUGGUUUUUUGUCCUAAGCCCCAUCCACAUCUGCAUCCCACUCUACUCCCCACCCCCAUCCUAUCAUCUGCUCUGUAUUUGAAGGGUUGGAAGACUAGAAACUACAUUUGCUGGACUCCUUGUCAGUUGAAUGUUGAGGCUGGUUUCUAGCAGCAGAAGUAGCAGAUAAAGAAUGAAAAAAACAAAACAAAACAAAACAAAAAAAAACGGCUUCAGUUCCAUCUGUGGGUUGGGGUGAGGAAUUAAAUCCACUUUCUCACUUAUUCUCACCAGCACUGGGAGGAGGGGAGUAGCUGACUUCCUCUAAUUUCUGAUAUCUGUGCAGCACCCCGAUUCCCAGUAUUUCCCUACAACCCUUUCCAACAUUUAACUGUGUUUACACACUGGAUUUCCUUCUCUUUGAAAUUCUUAGAAUGGUUUCUAUAUUUCUGACUGGCCCCUGUAUGAUACAUGGAAUAAAUAUAUGAACUCUGUUAAUUAGAGGAGGAAAUGAACUUGGACCAAGUUGUGCAACUCUGCAAUGAAGUCUUAAUGGUACUGAUUAAUGCUUUCUCAAUAUCAUGCAUUCCACCUGAUGUACUUGAGGAACAACUUGACUGCUGUCUUACAGAUGCCAGUCUUGGAGUUCCAAUGAUGCAGGAUAUAGACAGCUCAUCUUCAUGAUCACUGCCUAAUUACACCUCCUCUGACUGAUUUCUGGAGCACAUCAUCUCUCCAAGAUUGCCUUUUGUCAUGGCUCGAAUGUGGCUUACGUCUGUAGUCAUAACAGAUGUGGCCUUUCUAUGACCCUCAUCCGAAAGCUUGAAGGAUGUGGACAAAAUGAGGCACCCUUUGAGGUAGUAUCUUUGCUGAAAGCAGGAUUGGUUUCAGAUGAGGUGUCAUCUUUUUCAAGUUCAACGUCACCUGCUUGACCCACUCUGUCACAUUACUUCUUCUAGUAUAUGUCACAUUAUAGUUAGGUUAGGUCAUGCCAUCAGAGUUAACAAUGAGAUGCUAUUGCCAGAGAAGCAGCAUACAGACUGCCACAAAUUCAAAAGUCCUUAGUUUUUGCAGUCUUGGGAGGCACAGGAGCUGGACCUUAUACCAUCAAGCCCUAUAGUCACCAUACAAAAUAUACUUUUGCCAAGGAAAUAAAAUAGUCAGUAGACUUGAAGAAUUCAUGAGGUAACACUCUGGAGACAAAGCCGCCAUCAGUAUUGAAGUUUGAGCUCCAGUGCCUUGGCAAGGCAGUGUCUCUUUGUAUUCAGCUCUUGACUCCUAGCAAUGGCAGUCAUUUUGGAUAAAUUGUGCCUUGCCACUUCAGCACCAGAGAAAGUCACAGGAGCAUCUUUAUAGAUUUCAAAAAGAGCUUACAUUUAUAAAGAUAGGGCAGUCUGGGUCUUGCCAUUUUGAUUCAUAUUUAGAACCAGAAAGAAUUUCUCUUUCAAUUGCCUGUGGAAGACACAUUCUCCAAAUCAAUGUCUGGAAUUGCUAAAUAAAUUUCAGAGAAUAGAUUUUUUUUUCCUGACCUCAUUUGAAUGUCUAGACAUUUGUGGAUUAUUGGAUCUCAACCAUCUGAAACAUCAAGCCAACAUCCCCCAAACCAAAUUUAACCUGUAGACUAAGAAUGCAAUCAAGAAUUGUAAAAUAAGAGCCUCCGUGCCAAGCUUGUUGGGAGAAAACUGAGAAGGGGAAGAAAUGAUCGAUAAAAAGAUCUUCCAGCAAGAUGAGGAUACAAUAGAGAAUAACCACUGACCAACGUGUCGGUACUGGCAUUAGGGUAAGACAAACAGAGGCGGAAGGGGAAAAUCAAAGAAAGUUAAAGUAAUUGGGAAAACUGCUGAUUGUACCUAUUCUCAGGUAAUACACAUUUACAUGGAGACAUGUUUCAUGUUCACAGGGUACUUACCAUUUUUUCUUUACUUGAAAAUACAUCCAAGCUAUUUUAAGGCUGCUUUAUUCUAUUAGCAAUUGCUAUUAGAUGAUAAUUUCAAGAAAACUAUAUAUGCCAUUAUGGCUCAUAGGAUGAGGCUGUAUCAGUAGAGCCAGUACUAGAGAAAAGGCUUCCUUCUCCCUUUUCUCCUUAUAAGGGGCAAAUUGAUAUAGAAACAGGUCUGCUGCAAGGGACCUAUUAAGGUGUGAGGGUCCUAGCCUGUUGGAAACCUUCCAGAAUUACUCCCUAUAUUGAACAAAUUUUUCCUUUAGUCAUGAGGAAAAAAAAUAAAAACUAUUUCCCUUCCAGCUCAUAUUUAACCGUCAUAUUUGUGCAUAUGAUUGCAGUGCUUCUGAAAGGCCUUGGAAGGAGCUGCCAGGCUGCAAGGGAUUGAAUUGAAAGCCCCCUAACAGUUAAAGUGUCCAUUAGCUCCUCUACACUUAGCAUCCGUCAGAGAGAAGAAGGCCUGGGAGCCCCGGGCAAAUCUCUAACUAGCCUAAUGAGGAGAGAGAUUCUGGGAGCAAAAAAAGUUCAUUUGCUGAAUUUCCAGCAAGAAGUCACUUCAAUAUUGCUUCUAGGAAACACUGACAGGCUUUGUUGGUAAGAAAUCAUUAUGCUGAGAAAGAAAUGGGAUAUUGUUAUAGGAGGUUUUUAAAGAAAAUUCAUUUUGAUAGAUGUCUAACUGUGCAUUCAAUUAAAUUUCCUUCCCUUUCUUAAAAAAUAGAUGUCAGGUAAUUGUACUCAAGUUCUGUAAGCUGAAAAGUGUUAUCCUCUCCUUCCAGUUAUUAAAAUUUCUUUAUCAAUGUGUGUCUUUCUUGUCUUUAUCCUUUGACUAUGGGGGGCCCUCAGUGAAAAUACCUGGAGUUCUCCCCUCCUUUCCUGUGGCUGUGUCAGUGCUCCCAAAAGGAUUAGUAAGGACUGCUCUUUUUGUUGAAAACCGAUGUCUGUAUUUAAAUUAUGUAGGCUCUAUGCCCCUGAAAAUUCCUCUCCUUAAACAUCGAUGUGCAUGACCACUCACUAGACACAGAGUCCCUUUAGUUAUGAAGUCACAAAUCAUCGUUUGCUGCGAUGUCCCACUAUUUCCGUACUAUGUAUCCCACCAUUGUGCCAUGGCCAUUUGAAGCUUCUAAUGAUCAACUGACUGCUAUUCAAAACACCCCCCUUCAAUCCAUCCUUUUACUCCCAUUGAAUCUAACCUUCUAAAAUGUGGCUUUACAAACAAUACACUCUGUGCCUAAAACCUCUAGAUCUCCCAGCAGCUUAUGCUUCCAUCCUCUGGAACAACCACCCUCUCCUCCUGAUUAUCUAGUUUCCAGUAAUGGCACUCUCAUGUUCCUAAUCAACUAGAC